GACGAACGCUGGCGGCGUGCUUAACACAUGCAAGUCGAACGGGAUUUAGUAGACAGAAGCCUCGGCUAAAGAUUACUAAUGAGAGUGGCGAACGGGUGAGUAACGCGUGAGCAACCUGCCUAUGACAGUGGGAUAGCCUCGGGAAACCGGGAUUAAUACUGCAUAAAAUCGUAGAAACACAUGUUUUAACGGUCAAAGAUUUAUCGGUCGUAGAUGGGCUCGCGUCUGAUUAGCUAGUUGGUGAGAUAACAGCACGCAAAGGCGACGAUCAGUAGCCUGUCUGUGAGGCUGAGCCCCCACAUUUGAACUGAGACACGGUCCGAACUCCUACGGGAUGCAGCAGUGGGUAAUAUUGCACAAUGGGGGAAACCCUGAUGCAGCGACGCCGCGUGAACGAAGAAGUUAUUCGUAUCGUAAAGUUCUGUCCUAUGGGAAGAUAAUGACAGUACCAUAGAAGAAAGCUCCGGCUAACUACGUG
rnacentral:rRNA from 1 species